CUCACUAGUCAAGAGAUCCUGCGCCGAAGAUGUCCGGGGCUCAAACUUACCACCGAAGCUAUGGGUGUACACUAUGUGUACGCGGUAGGGGAGCUUUCUGUAUGGGUUGAAGUCGUACCGUAAGGAGUGGUGGACUGUACAGAAGUGAGAAUGCUGGCAUAAGUAGCGAGAAAUAAGUGAGAAUCUUAUUGGCCGAAAACCUAAGGUUUCCUGGGGAAGGCUCGUCCGCCCAGGGUUAGUCGGGACCUAAGCCGCGGCCGAAAGGCGUAGGUGAUGGACAAUCGGUUGAUAUUCCGAUACCACCUAUUUACGUUUGAGAGAUGGGGUGACGCAGUAGGAUAAGAUGUGCGCACUAUUGGAUGUGCGUCUAAGCAUUUAGGCAUGCUUGAUAGGCAAAUCCGUCAGGCUAAGCUGAGAUGUUAUGGAGAGCCAAAUGUGGCGAAGUAUCUGAUUCCACACUGCCAAGAAAAGCCUCUAUCGAGUAAAUAGGUGCCCGUACCGCAAACCGACACAGGUAGGUGAGGAGAGAAUCCUAAGGCCAUCGGAAGAAUUGCUGUUAAGGAACUCGGCAAAUUGACCCCGUAACUUCGGGAGAAGGGGUGCCUACGAAAGUAGGCCGCAGAGAAUAGGCCCAAGCAACUGUUUAGCAAAAA
rnacentral:ncRNA from 1 species